AUCAAUUUGCUCUUGGAGAUCAAAGACAAAAGCAAGGUGUUUAAUGAUCCUAUCCAUGGUCACAUUGAGCUACACCCACUUCUCGUCAAAAUCAUUGACACACCUCAGUUCCAGAGACUACGAUACAUCAAGCAGCUUGGAGGAGCAUACUUUGUUUACCCUGGAGCAUCCCACAACCGCUUUGAACACUCAAUUGGGGUGGCGUACUUAGCAGGAGAGCUUGCAAAAGCUCUGAAAACAAAGGGGA